AUGACUCCUGGUGGCAGAGCUCCUGGUUGGCUGUCAAGCAUCACCCCAUGGGAAUCAGAGAGAUUUAUGAGCUUAAAGAGCCCCGUUCAUCAUGAACUAGACUCAGAGCAAAACAAAGAUACAGCAUACAGAUUGAAGACAUGA
rnacentral:lncRNA from 1 species